rnacentral:rRNA from 1 species
UACGUAGGGUGCGAGCGUUGUCCGGAAUUAUUGGGCGUAAAGAGCUCGUAGGCGGUGUGUCGCGUCGGUCGUGAAAACUUGGGGCUUAACCCUGAGCUUGCGGUCGAUACGGGCAUCACUGUAGUUCGGCAGGGGAGACUGUAAUUCCUGGUGUAGCGGUGAAAUGCGCAGAUAUCAGGAGGAACACCGGUGGCGAAGGCGGGUCUCUGGGCCGAUACUGACGCUGAGGAGCGAAAGCGUGGGGAGCGAACAGG